rnacentral:rRNA from 1 species
UGGUGGAGUGAUUCGUCUGGUCAAUUCCGAUAACGAACGAGACCUCAGCCUGCUAAAUAGUCACCAUAGCCGUCUAUAUGGGUGAAGCGUAGACCGUGGGGUGCUCCGGUGCCUCUGCCUCUGCGUGGAUCCCUGAUGUGCUAGUGGGUUGGACUUCUUAGAGGGACUAUUGGCGUUUAGCCAAUGGAAGUUUGAGGCAAUAACA